rnacentral:tRNA from 1 species
CAGAGAAUAGUUUAGUUUAGAAUCCUGGCUUUGGGAGCCAGGGGUGGGGGUUAGAAUCCCCUUUCUCUGA